UACGUAGGGCGCGAGCGUUGUCCGGAAUUAUUGGGCGUAAAGAGCUCGUAGGCGGCCUGUUGCGUCCGCUGUGAAAGCCCGGGGCUUAACCCCCGGGUCUGCAGUGGAUACGGGCAGGCUAGAGGUAGGUAGGGGAGAAUGGAAUUCCCGGUGUAGCGGUGAAAUGCGCAGAUAUCGGGAGGAACACCGGUGGCGAAGGCGGUUCUCUGGGCCUUACCUGACGCUGAGGAGCGAAAGCGUGGGGAGCGAACAGG
rnacentral:rRNA from 1 species